rnacentral:rRNA from 1 species
UACGUAGGGUGCAAGCGUUAAUCGGAAUUACUGGGCGUAAAGCGUGCGCAGGCGGUUCGCUAAGACCGAUGUGAAAUCCCCGGGCUUAACCUGGGAACUGCAUUGGUGACUGGCGGGCUAGAGUAUGGCAGAGGGGGGUAGAAUUCCACGUGUAGCAGUGAAAUGCAUAGAGAUCCGGAAGAACACCGACGGCGAAGGCAGCGUCCUGGCCGAGCACUGACGCUCAGGCACGAAAGCGCGGGGAGCAAACAGG